UACGGAGGGGGCAAGCGUUGUUCGGAAUUAUUGGGCGUAAAGCGUAUGUAGGCGGCUAAGCAAGUCAGGCGUGCAAGCCCGUGGCUCAACCACGGAAUUGCGUUUGAAACUGCUUAGCUUGAGUACAGGAGAGGAAAGCGGAAUUCCCAGUGUAGCGGUGAAAUGCAUUGAUAUUGGGAAGAACAUCUGUGGCGAAGGCGCUUUCUGGUCUGUUACUGACGCUGAGAUACGAAAGCCAGGGGAGCGAACG
rnacentral:rRNA from 1 species